rnacentral:rRNA from 1 species
AGAGUUUGAUCCUGGCUCAGAUUGAACGCUGGCGGCAUGCCUUACACAUGCAAGUCGAACGGCAGCGCGGGCUUCGGCCUGGCGGCGAGUGGCGAACGGGUGAGUAAUACAUCGGAACGUGCCCUGUCGUGGGGGAUAACUAGUCGAAAGAUUAGCUAAUACCGCAUACGACCUGAGGGUGAAAGCGGGGGACCGCAAGGCCUCGCGCGAUAGGAGCGGCCGAUGUCUGAUUAGCUAGUUGGUGGGGUAAAGGCCUACCAAGGCGACGAUCAGUAGCUGGUCUGAGAGGACGAUCAGCCACACUGGGACUGAGACACGGCCCAGACUCCUACGGGAGGCAGCAGUGGGGAAUUUUGGACAAUGGGGGCAACCCUGAUCCAGCAAUGCCGCGUGUGUGAAGAAGGCCUUCGGGUUGUAAAGCACUUUUGUCCGGAAAGAAAUGGCCCUGGCUAAUACCCGGGGUCGAUGACGGUACCGGAAGAAUAAGCACCGGCUAACUACGUGCCAGCAGCCGCGGUAAUACGUAGGGUGCGAGCGUUAAUCGGAAUUACUGGGCGUAAAGCGUGCGCAGGCGGUUUGAUAAGACAGGCGU